rnacentral:rRNA from 1 species
AGUCUGCAACUCGACUCCAUGAAGUCGGAAUCGCUAGUAAUCGCAGAUCAGCAUUGCUGCGGUGAAUACGUUCCCGGGUCUUGUACACACCGCCCGUCACACCAUGGGAGUUGAUUGCACCAGAAGCAGGUAGCCUGACCGCAAGGGGGGCGCCUACCACGGUGUGGUCAAU